UUAAGUUCAGCGGGUAUCCCUACCUGAUCCGAGGUCAACCUGAAAAAAAUUGGGGGUUGAUGGCAAGCACACAACCGGACCUCCAGAGCGAGAAGAAUUACUACGCUUGAAGCCGGAUGGCACCGCCACUGAUUUUGAGGCCCGCUGGGAGACCAGCGCAGGCCCAAUACCAAGCAGAGCUUGAAGGUUGAAAUGACGCC
rnacentral:misc_RNA from 1 species